ensembl:lncRNA
UAAUUGCUUCAUUCAUACAGUUUUAUUUACUGGAUAACCCAAGUAAGAUGUUAUGCAUUUUUUCACUAAGCACAUCAAAUUUUAUAAUCUGCAGUUGAUAACAGUAAUAAAUAAUUUAGAAAACUAUUUAAAGUCUUUUACUUAAAACACUGAACUCCACUGAUUCCAGCGUAAAACAAGAUUUAUGCACGGCUGAAACAACCAUCAACUCCGGACGAAAGAGGUAACAGAUUCUGUUUGGUACAUUCUCAACAAAUAUAAACACAAUCUGUUUAUAUAACAAAUAUUAUCACACAUUGCUAAGAAUGUUAAGAAAAUUCUAUUCAGAGAACAUAGUUGGUCUUGCAUUUAAGAUUUGAUCAAUUUACCUCUUUGUACAUUUCAAGGAACACUGCUGAAGUUUUUCUCCGUUUCUUUUAUCUUGAGCACAACAGCAGCAUUUCUGCUGCACACUAACAUCUGAUCAUGCACACUGUAGCCUUCUAAGAAGCAUGUCAUUUAGCAGAAGUUUGGAUGGAAUUUGAAAACGCCUUUUAAAAUAAAAGCAAAGUUGUGUAGCUCAGGGACAGCUGCAGUACAGUAGCACUGGUUUCCUAAACACCGAAAUAAAGCAAUAAGAUCAGAAAUGCAAAACACCACAAUACAUUUUGCUCCCUCAAGGCGAUAUUCAAAUAAUAUAUAUAUAUAUAUAUAUUUUGUCUAUGAACACUUCCCUGUGAUCUCCGCCUGCUAUUUAAGACAUCAGUCAUAUCAAAGACACUUUCUUUCUAUCUUUUUCUCUAUACAUGUCACUUUCCUAGUCAUCUACGCAAUAUAUUGAGCUAAAAAGUCAAAGCCUGCUUAUUCUGUUAUCUCCAACUCAAGGCAUUUAACAGCUUCAAAAUGUUGCAAAAUGAACCUGAACAUUGUUAAUCCUGAUUAAGUAUUAAGUAGCAUAUGGGAGUAUUAUGAAAUACAAGUUAUCAAAGACAUAAGAUGACAAUUGUUAGACUAACUGUUAAACCACACUGAACUACUUACAGCUUACAUAAAACGUUCUACUUUGUGCUGGUGUAACAUUCCAGUAACUCGGUCAAAUCAUCUGUUCAAUAGCCUUUGAUCCUCAAAACAUAUUACACUCUCACUCAGGACAUUUUCAUGUUUAUCGAGACUCAUCAGUAACGUUCUCAUGUUGACCUGAACUCACAGGCGAGAAUCAAAUUGAAAAACAAAAAUCGGAAAACUAUGGAAACCCAUUUCUGCCACUAAAUAAAAAAUAAAAAA